rnacentral:rRNA from 1 species
GUAGGGAAUCUUGCGCAAUGGGCGAAAGCCUGACGCAGCCAUGCCGCGUGAAUGAUGAAGGUCUUAGGAUUGUAAAAUUCUUUCACCGGGGACGAUAAUGACGGUACCCGGAGAAGAAGCCCCGGCUAACUUCGUGCCAGCAGCCGCGGUAAUACGAAGGGGGCUAGCGUUGCUCGGAAUUACUGGGCGUAAAGGGAGCGUAGGCGGAUAGUUUAGUCAGAGGUGAAAGCCCAGGGCUCAACCUUGGAAUUGCCUUUGAUACUGGCUAUCUUGAGUAUGGAAGAGGUAUGUGGAACUCCGAGUGUUGAGGUGAAAUUCGUAGAUAUUCGGAAGAACACCAGUGGCGAAGGCGACAUACUGGUCCAUUACUGACGCUGAGGCUCGAAAGCGUGGGGAGCAAACAGGAUUAGAAACCCGAGUAGUCC